UUGAACGCUGGCGGAAUGCUUUACACAUGCAAGUCGAGCGGCAGCGCGGGGGCAACCCUGGCGGCGAGCGGCGAACGGGUGAGUAAUGCAUCGGAACGUGCCCAAUCGUGGGGGAUAACGUAGCGAAAGUUACGCUAAUACCGCAUACGCCCUGAGGGGGAAAGCAGGGGAUCUUCGGACCUUGUGCGAAUGGAGCGGCCGAUGUCAGAUUAGCUAGUUGGUGGGGUAAAGGCCCACCAAGGCGACGAUCUGUAGCGGGUCUGAGAGGAUGAUCCGCCACACUGGGACUGAGACACGGCCCAGACUCCUACGGGAGGCAGCAGUGGGGAAUUUUGGACAAUGGGCGCAAGCCUGAUCCAGCCAUGCCGCGUGCGGGACGAAGGCCUUCGGGUUGUAAACCGCUUUCAGCCGGAAAGAAAUCGUCAAGGCUAAUAUCCUUGAUGGAUGACGGUACCGGAAGAAGAAGCACCGGCUAACUACGU
rnacentral:rRNA from 1 species